AGAGAUACCGUCCCAAGUGAAAGCAAUAAGCCUUAACCAAGGCUGUGACUUAACCAAGGAUUCACAAGGCAUCUCCAAACAUGUCUCACCUCAGAGAAAACACCGAGGAGGAAGUGAUCAUGCCUGUCUUCCAGUAACCUCUACCCUGGGCCUCUGAGAGCAGAUAGCACAGGGAAUGGGUAACCUCCCUUCCGCUGAACUGAGUCCUCCACCACCACUUAUCCAAGACCUCACCAUCCUGAGACACCUGCAGGGAAGAAAGAAAACAUUUCAUCUUGCUACCUCUGCCCGGGCCUUCCAGAGCCGACAGCAGGGGUGGGACUCUGGCAUCCUCUCCACUCCAGAGCGACUGAUCCCCUGAAUACUCACUCGGGAUCCUCACCGUGACUUCUGGAAUGGAAUAGACUUUCUCUUUCCUACUGAUCUGAGGCCUGGCCCCUCAGACCAUGGCUCUCACCUCCAGGAGACCUCUGUCUGGGAAGUUGAGGAAUCUCAUCCUGCCUGGGGUCUCCAGGGGAUGACAGCAGGGGCCAGCCAGACUCCAGGGCCCGCUAUAUCUGGCUUUAGUACAACAUGGGUUCUCAUGCUGGGGCCAACCCCUUGGCUGCAAUCAGGGCCCGGGAUCCAUUGCUGAUCUGAGGCUUCUGCUCCUAAAACCAACACCCUUACCUCCCAGUCUCCUGAGGAGGAGUGAGGAUGCAUUCAUUGCCUGUGUCAUUUGGCCUCCCCUUCCUGGGAUCUUCUAGGGCUGACAGCAGGGCUGGUGGUGACGGAGCUCUAUAGAGCCUCAUUUGUUCUGAAGGUAAGAAAGUUUUCUGCAGGAAUGAGUUCUGCUGCUUCUCCAGAAUGCGGUCAGACUUGUUCUGUCUCUUUUCCUUUCCAUUCCCCUAUAGCAUGUGUGUGUGUGUGUGACAUUUUCAUGUAUAUGGGAAUUUAUUUCUGGACCUGCUAUCCUUUUCCAUUAAUCAAUUUGUCAGUUCCUAAUCCAGAACCAUACUGUUUAACUGUUGCGUUAAGUUAGCUAUCACUUAAGCCAAUUCCCUGUUCAUUAGCUGCUUUUCUUUAGUCCGGUCUUGGUUUUAUAGCUGUUACAUAGCUGUGUAUUUAUCCAGGUCACCUUUAAGUUCAAUUGUAAUCCUAAACAUUUUCUCAUAUCUCAUGCAGGUUUUAUUAGAAUAUGACAUAUUCAUGGGUACAGAAUUUUCAUGGCCUUCAUUAAAGUUUUUCAUUUUCUUUUAACAAUAGAACCAUUUUUGCUAAGUUUAUUUCUAGAUAUAUUGUUAUUUAUAAUUACUGUUUAGAAUGCACUCC